rnacentral:rRNA from 1 species
UUAAGCGACUAAGCGUACACGGUGGAUGCCCUGGCAGUCAGAGGCGAUGAAGGGCGUGCUAAUCUGCGAUAAGCGCCGGUAAGGUGAUAUGAACCGUUAUAACCGGCGAUACCCGAAUGGGGAAACCCAGUGUGAUUCGUCACACUAUCAUUAACUGAAUCCAUAGGUUAAUGAGGCGAACCGGGGGAACUGAAACAUCUAAGUACCCCGAGGAAAAGAAAUCAACCGAGAUUCCCCCAGUAGCGGCGAGCGAACGGGGAGGAGCCCAGAGCCUGAAUCAGCAUGUGUGUUAGUGGAAGCGUCUGGAAAGACGCGCGAUACAGGGUGACAGCCCCGUACACAAAAGCGCAUGUGCUGUGAGCUCGAUGAGUAGGGCGGGACACGUGGUAUCCUGUCUGAAUAUGGGGGGACCAUCCUCCAAGGCUAAAUACUCCUGACUGACCGAUAGUGAACCAGUACCGUGAGGGAAAGGCGAAAAGAACCCCGGCGAGGGGAGUGAAAAAGAACCUGAAACCGUGUACGUACAAGCAGUGGGAGCACAGGUUUACCUGUGUGACUGCGUACCUUUUGUAUAAUGGGUCAGCGACUUAUAUUCUGUAGCAAGGUUAACCGAAUAGGGGAGCCGGAGGGAAACCGAGUCUUAAUUGGGCGUUAAGUUGCAGGGUAUAGACCCGAAACCCGGUGAUCUAGCCAUGGGCAGGUUGAAGGUUGGGUAACACUAACUGGAGGACCGAACCGACUAAUGUUGAAAAAUUAGCGGAUGACCUGUGGCUGGGGUGAAAGGCCAAUCAAACCGGGAGAUAGCUGGUUCUCCCCGAAAGCUAUUUAGGUAGCGCCUCGUGAAUUCAUCUCCGGGGUAGAGCACUGUUUCGGCUAGGGGGCCAUCCCGGCUUACCAACCCGAUGCAAACUGCGAAUACCGGAGAAUGUUAUCACGGGAGACACACGGCGGGUGCUAACGUCCGUCGUGAAGAGGGAAACAACCCAGACCGCCAGCUAAGGUCCCAAAGUCAUGGUUAAGUGGGAAACGAUGUGGGAAGGCCCAGACAGCCAGGAUGUUGGCUUAGAAGCAGCCAUCAUUUAAAGAAAGCGUAAUAGCUCACUGGUCGAGUCGGCCUGCGCGGAAGAUGUAACGGGGCUAAACCAUGCACCGAAGCUGCGGCAGCGACACUCAGGUGUUGUUGGGUAGGGGAGCGUUCUGUAAGCCUGUGAAGGUGGCCUGUGAGGGUUGCUGGAGGUAUCAGAAGUGCGAAUGCUGACAUAAGUAACGAUAAAGCGGGUGAAAAGCCCGCUCGCCGGAAGACCAAGGGUUCCUGUCCAACGUUAAUCGGGGCAGGGUGAGUCGACCCCUAAGGCGAGGCCGAAAGGCGUAGUCGAUGGGAAACGGGUUAAUAUUCCCGUACUUGGUGUUACUGCGAAGGGGGGACGGAGAAGGCUAUGUUGGCCGGGCGACGGUUGUCCCGGUUUAAGCGUGUAGGCUGGUUUUCCAGGCAAAUCCGGAAAAUCAAGGCUGAGGCGUGACGACGAGGCACUACGGUGCUGAAGCAACAAAUGCCCUGCUUCCAGGAAAAGCCUCUAAGCAUCAGGUAACAUCAAAUCGUACCCCAAACCGACACAGGUGGUCAGGUAGAGAAUACCAAGGCGCUUGAGAGAACUCGGGUGAAGGAACUAGGCAAAAUGGUGCCGUAACUUCGGGAGAAGGCACGCUGACACGUAGGUGAAGUGAUUUACUCACGGAGCUGAAGUCAGUCGAAGAUACCAGCUGGCUGCAACUGUUUAUUAAAAACACAGCACUGUGCAAACACGAAAGUGGACGUAUACGGUGUGACGCCUGCCCGGUGCCGGAAGGUUAAUUGAUGGGGUCAGCGCAAGCGAAGCUCCUGAUCGAAGCCCCGGUAAACGGCGGCCGUAACUAUAACGGUCCUAAGGUAGCGAAAUUCCUUGUCGGGUAAGUUCCGACCUGCACGAAUGGCGUAAUGAUGGCCAGGCUGUCUCCACCCGAGACUCAGUGAAAUUGAACUCGCUGUGAAGAUGCAGUGUACCCGCGGCAAGACGGAAAGACCCCGUGAACCUUUACUAUAGCUUGACACUGAACAUUGAGCCUUGAUGUGUAGGAUAGGUGGGAGGCUUUGAAGCGUGGACGCCAGUCUGCGUGGAGCCGACCUUGAAAUACCACCCUUUAAUGUUUGAUGUUCUAACGUGGACCCGUGAUCCGGGUUGCGGACAGUGUCUGGUGGGUAGUUUGACUGGGGCGGUCUCCUCCUAAAGAGUAACGGAGGAGCACGAAGGUUGGCUAAUCCUGGUCGGACAUCAGGAGGUUAGUGCAAUGGCAUAAGCCAGCUUGACUGCGAGCGUGACGGCGCGAGCAGGUGCGAAAGCAGGUCAUAGUGAUCCGGUGGUUCUGAAUGGAAGGGCCAUCGCUCAACGGAUAAAAGGUACUCCGGGGAUAACAGGCUGAUACCGCCCAAGAGUUCAUAUCGACGGCGGUGUUUGGCACCUCGAUGUCGGCUCAUCACAUCCUGGGGCUGAAGUAGGUCCCAAGGGUAUGGCUGUUCGCCAUUUAAAGUGGUACGCGAGCUGGGUUUAGAACGUCGUGAGACAGUUCGGUCCCUAUCUGCCGUGGGCGCUGGAGAACUGAGGGGGGCUGCUCCUAGUACGAGAGGACCGGAGUGGACGCAUCACUGGUGUUCGGGUUGUCAUGCCAAUGGCACUGCCCGGUAGCUAAAUGCGGAAGAGAUAAGUGCUGAAAGCAUCUAAGCACGAAACUUGCCCCGAGAUGAGUUCUCCCUGAGACUUAGAGUCUCCUGAAGGAACGUUGAAGACGACGACGUUGAUAGGCCGGGUGUGUAAGCGCAGCGAUGCGUUGAGCUAACCGGUACUAAUGAACCGUGAGGCUUAACCUU